UACAGAGGUCUCAAGCGUUGUUCGGAUUCAUUGGGCGUAAAGGGUGCGUAGGCGGCGCGGUAAGUCGGGUGUGAAAUCUCGGGGCUUAACUCCGAAACUGCAUUCGAUACUGCCGUGCUUGAGGACUGGAGAGGAGACUGGAAUUUACGGUGUAGCGGUGAAAUGCGUAGAUAUCGUAAGGAAGACCAGUGGCGAAGGCGGGUCUCUGGACAAUUCCUGACGCUGAGGCACGAAGGUCAGGGGAGCAAACGGG
rnacentral:rRNA from 1 species